GGGGGUCACUAUUACAUUAAAGCGUACAUUUUCCACACAAUCAUUCUUUCAAUACCGAUCAACUUUGCCGAAAAAACCAACUCUACAUCUGCUUCACA